GAAUCUUCCGCAAUGGACGAAAGUCUGACGGAGCAACGCCGCGUGAGUGACGAAGGUUUUCGGCUCGUAAAACUCUGUUGUGAGGGAAGAACAAGUGCCAAUUAACUACUGGCACCUUGACGGUACCUCACCAGAAAGCCACGGCCCCCUACGUGCCAGCAGCCGCGGUAAUACGUAGGUUGCAAGCGUUGUCCGGAAUUAUUGGCCGUAAAGCGCGCGCAGGCGGUCCUUUAAGUCUGAUGUGAAAGACAACGGCUCAACCGUGGAGGGUCAUUGGAAACUGGAGGACUUGAGUGCAGAAGAGGAAAGUGGAAUUCCAUGUGUAGCGGUGAAAUGCGUAGAGAUGUGGAGGAACACCAGUGGCGAAGGCGACUUUCUGGUCUGUAACUGACGCUGAGGCGCGAAAGCGUGGGGAGCAAACA
rnacentral:rRNA from 1 species